UCCGUAGGUGAACCUGCGGAAGGAUCAUUACCGAGUGAGGGCCCUUUGGGUCCAACCUCCCACCCGUGUUUAUUUUACCUUGUUGCUUCGGCGGGCCCGCCUUUACUGGCCGCCGGGGGGCUCACGCCCCCGGGCCCGCGCCCGCCGAAGACACCCCCGAACUCUGUCUGAAGAUUGAAGUCUGAGUGAAAAUAUAAAUUAUUUAAAACUUUCAACAACGGAUCUCUUGGUUCCGGCAUCGAUGAAGAACGCAGCGAAAUGCGAUACGUAAUGUGAAUUGCAAAUUCAGUGAAUCAUCGAGUCUUUGAACGCACAUUGCGCCCCCUGGUAUUCCGGGGGGCAUGCCUGUCCGAGCGUCAUUGCUGCCCUCAAGCCCGGCUUGUGUGUUGGGCCCCGUCCUCCGAUUCCGGGGGACGGGCCCGAAAGGCAGCGGCGGCACCGCGUCCGGUCCUCGAGCGUAUGGGGCUUUGUCACCCGCUCUGUAGGCCCGGCCGGCGCUUGCCGAUCAACCCAAAUUUUUAUCCAGGUUGACCUCGGAUCAGGUAGGGAUACCCGCUGAACUUAAGCAUAUCAAUAAGCGGAGGAA
rnacentral:rRNA from 1 species